rnacentral:RNase_P_RNA from 2 species
ACGUUCGGGUAAUUGCUGCAGAUCCAAUCUGUAGAGGAAAGUCCAUGCUCGCACGGUGCUGAGAUGCCCGUAGUGUUCGUGCCUGGCCAAAAAAUAAGCCAGGGCAGCUUGACGGCUGACGGCAGGAAAAAGGCCUAAAUCUUUUUAGACAUGGCCGAGUAACCUUGAAAGUGCCACAGUGACGAAGUCUCGCUAGAAAUGGCGAGAGUGGAACGGGUAAACCCCACGAGCGAGAAACCCAAAUUUUGGUAGGGGAACCUUCCUGAAGAAAGUGAACGGAUGGAAGGACAGAAUUUCGAUUCUGUAGAUAGAUGAUUACCGCCUUUGUACGAGGCAGCGGCCGUUUGCAGUACUGAGGAACAAAACAUGGCUUACAGAA